rnacentral:rRNA from 1 species
UUGCCAGACUCCUACGGGAGGCAGCAGUGGGGAAUAUUGGGCAAUGGAGGCAACUCUGACCCAGCAACGCCGCGUGAAUGAAGAAGGCCUUCGGGUUGUAAAGUUCUUUAAUUGGGGACGAAGGAAAUGACGGUACCCAAAGAAUAAGCCACGGCUAACUACGUGCCAGCAGCCGCGGUAAUACGUAGGUGGCAAGCGUUGUCCGGAAUGACUGGGCGUAAAGGGAGCGUAGGCGGCGCGGUAAGUUAGGAGUGAAAUCCCGGGGCUCAACCCCGGAACUGCUUUUAAAACUGCCGUGCUUGAGUGAUGGAGAGGAAAGCGGAAUUCCUAGUGUAGCGGUGGAAUGCGUAGAUAUUAGGAGGAACACCAGAGGCGAAGGCGGCUUUCUGGACAUUAACUGACGCUGAGGCUCGAAAGCGUGGGGAGCAAACAGGGUUAGAUACCCUAGUA